rnacentral:rRNA from 1 species
UAGCUUGCUAGAGAAACGGUUAGUGGCAGACGGGUGAGUAACGCGUGGGAAUUUACCCAAUAGUAUGGGACAACAGUUGGAAACGACUGCUAAUACCGUAUACGAUCUAAGGAUGAAAGGAUUUAUUCGCUAUUGGAUAAGCCCGCGUUGGAUUAGUUUGUUGGUGGGGUAAUGGCCUACCAAGACUACGAUCUAUAGCUGGUUCGAGAGGAUGAACAGCCACACUGGAACUGAGACACGGUCCAGACUCC